rnacentral:rRNA from 1 species
UAGGGAAUCUUCCACAAUGGACGAAAGUCUGAUGGAGCAACGCCGCGUGAGUGAUGAAGGGUUUCGGCUCGUAAAAAGCUCUGUUGUUGGAGAAGAACAGGUGUGAGAGUAACUGUUCACAUCUUGACGGUAUCCAACCAGAAAAGCCACGGCUAACUACGUGCCAGCAGCCGCGGUAAUACGUAGGUGGCAAGCGUUGUCCGGAUUUAUUGGGCGUAA